rnacentral:rRNA from 1 species
GAUGAACGCUGACAGAAUGCUUAACACAUGCAAGUCUACUUGAACUUCGGUUUGGGUGGCGGACGGGAGAGUAACGCGUAAAGAACUUGCCUCACAGUUAGGGACAACAUUUGGAAACGAAUGCUAAUACCUGAUAUUAUGAUUCUAGGGCAUCCUAAGAUUAUGAAAGCUAUAUGCGCUGUGAGAGAGCUUUGCGUCCCAUUAGCUAGUUGGAGAGGUAACGGCUCACCAAGGCGAUGAUGGGUAGCCGGCCUGAGAGGGUGAACGGCCACAAGGGGACUGAGACACGGCCCUUACUCCUACGGGAGGCAGCAGUGGGGAAUAUUGGACAAUGGACCAAAAGUCUGAUCCAGCAAUUCUGUGUGCACGAUGACGUUUUUCGGAAUGUAAAGUGCUUUCAGUUGGGAAGAAAAAAAUGACGGUACCAACAGAAGAAGUGACGGCUA